CCCUUAGAUGUCCUGGGCCGCACGCGCGUUACACUGAUGCAUUCAACGAGCUUAUAACCUUGGCCGAGAGGCCUGGGCAAUCUUGUUAACGUGCAUCGUGAUAGGGAUAGAUUAUUGAAAUUAUUAAUCUUGAACGAGGAAUUCCUAGUAAACGCAGAUCAUCAAUCUGCAUUGAUUUCGUCCCUGCCCUUUGUACACACCGCCCGUCGCACCUACCGAUUGGAUGGUCCGGUGAAGCCUCGGGAUUGUGGUUCUUGCCGCUUUAUUGUGGCGUGACCGCGAGAACUUGUCUAAACCUUAUCAUCUAGAGGAAGGUGAAGUCGUAACA
rnacentral:rRNA from 1 species